rnacentral:rRNA from 1 species
GACGAACGCUGGCGGCGUGCUUAACACAUGCAAGUCGAACGGAAAGGCCCAGCUUGCUGGGUGCUCGAGUGGCGAACGGGUGAGUAACACGUGGGUGAUCUGCCCCUAACUUCGGGAUAAGCUUUGGAAACUGGGUCUAAUACCGGAUAGGACAAUCGUUUAGUGUCGGUUGUGGAAAGUUUUUUCGGUUAGGGAUGAGCCCGCGGCCUAUCAGCUUGUUGGUGGGGUAAUGGCCUACCAAGGCGUCGACGGGUAGCCGGCCUGAGAGGGUGGACGGCCACAUUGGGACUGAGAUACGGCCCAGACUCCUACGGGAGGCAGCAGUGGGGAAUAUUGCACAAUGGGCGCAAGCCUGAUGCAGCGACGCCGCGUGGGGGAUGACGGCCUUCGGGUUGUAAACCUCUUUCGACAGGGACGAAGCGUUGGUGACGGUACCUGGAUAAGAAGCACCGGCUAACUACGUG